GCUCAGAUGAACGCUAGCGGCAGGCCUAAUACAUGCAAGUCGAACGGAUAUGGGGACUUCGGUUCCCAUAUUAGUGGCGCACGGGUGCGUAACGCGUAUGCAACCUACCUUCCACAGGGGGAUAGCCCCGGGAAACCGGGAUUAAUACCGCAUGACACCAUGAAUCGGCAUCGGUUUAUGGUCAAAGUUUCGGCGGUGGAAGAUGGGCAUGCGUGCCAUUAGCUAGUUGGCGGGGUAGAGGCCCACCAAGGCUACGAUGGCUAGGGGUUCUGAGAGGAUGGUCCCCCACACUGGUACUGAGACACGGACCAGACUCCUACGGGAGGCAGCAGUAGGGAAUAUUGGGCAAUGGCCGCGAGGCUGACCCAGCCAUGCCGCGUGCAGGAAGAAGGCCUUCUGGGUUGUAAACUGCUUUUGUAUAGGAAGAAAACGCCCAUGCGUGGGUAACUGACGGUACUAUACGAAUAAGCACCGGC
rnacentral:rRNA from 1 species